UGUUUGGGGAUGAGCUGAGCCUGGUGACUCUGUUCCGAUGCAUCCAGAAUAUGCCGAAAACACUGCCCAACAAUUCCUGCUACUCCGCUGGCAUCGCGAAGCUGGAAGAAGGGGACGAGAUUCAGCUUGCAAUACCUCGGGAGAAUGCCCAGAUUUCACGGAACGGAGACGACACCUUCUUUGGUGCCCUAAAACUGCUGUGACCCACUUGCUGGAGUAUGUGACCCCUUCCCUCCUCUUCUCUGUACCUCCGAGGGAGAAACGGACCACUGGAGAUAACAAAAGAGGGGGAACGUCGUCACCGGAAGUUUUCCCGUGAGCUGUUGAAUCUGGUCCAAAGCAGGAAAUACAACAGGCAGCCACAUCCAAAGUGGGUCAUGUGAGUUAUGAGAAAUGGAGCCACAUCCAAAAUGACAGGACUAGGAAGGCUGUUUACUCCUGUCCUAUGCCAACACGCACCGCCGCACCCUUGCUUUUCGCCGUGGGAGGCACACGUUCCGAAUGCGGGGAGAUUUCCUUGUUUUGUGAUUCACCGUGAGAAGAGGGCCCACCUUUCCAGGUCACUGAAGCAUUCACGCAAAGUCUCAGGAUUUACCCUCCCUCCUCAUGCUAAGUACGCGCGCCUCUUUCCCAGGUAACACUUUGGAAAGGUUUUGUGUUGGGUUGUUUGUUUUUAAAUCUAGGAGUCUGGAACUGGCUAUAGACAAGAAUACUUAACAAAUUCAACUGUAAAAUAAACUUAAUUAAAACCGUUUAAGUGUUAA
rnacentral:lncRNA from 1 species